rnacentral:lncRNA from 7 species
UUUAAAGCCCCAGUAUGGAACUAUGGGAGAUGCAAGAAGUGAAACCGACUAACGCAGUGAUAAAAACAAAUGGAAAUGCGAAAGUCAAACACACAUUUUAAAUGGUGCUCACAAGAAAGGGUUUUGCAGAAUCAGGAUCUCUCUUGGAUGACUGGUUUGAGAUCUGGGAAGUUUAAUAUAACAGAAUUCAGAGGUCAGAACUUUCCUGCCCAAGGCUGCUGCAGCAUGGAGUACAUACACCCAAACCCACAUAUCUUAGGACCUGAUGACCAGCGAUUCUUACUGCUUCUCUCCUAACUUGAUUUCCUGACCUGCCUGUUUUGUAUCUUCAGUUCAUAAAGCUCUUAGGGCCAGUAAGCAGCCAGCCAGGCAAAAUUGUCAUGCAAUCUAUAAAUAAGCUCUAUACACCUUAUAUAACAUCCACACAGAUUUUUCUGGAGCUGCUUCUGAAACAAUAAGAUUGGCAUACCUUUUUUUUUUAUCUUUUACUGAGUGGUUGGGCGGAACUCAGCUGCCAAUUUUGCUUGACAGGGAUGAUAGAAGCCUACCUACUUCUUCAGACUGUAAUUUGCUCAAUUCCAGCAUACUUUUCCAAAUAAAUGCUUACUUCUGAAGU